rnacentral:rRNA from 1 species
CCAAUAGCGUAUAUUAAAGUUGUUGCAGUUAAAAAGCUCGUAGUUGAAUUUCGGGGUUAGUAGGUUGGUCGUGCCACUGGUAUGUACUGGCUUCACUGAUUCCUCCUUCUUGAAGAACUGUAAUGUCAUUAAUUUGGUGUUGCAGGGAAACAGGACUGUUACUUUGAAAAAAUUAGCGUGUUUAAAGCAGGCUAACGCUUGAAUACAUUAGCAUGGAAUAAUGAAAUAGGACGUUUAAUUCUAUUUUGUUGGUUUCUAGGAUUGACGUAAUGAUUAAUAGGGAUAGUUGGGGGCAUUAGUAUUCAAUUGUCAGAGGUGAAAUUCUUGGAUUUAUUGAAGACUGACUACUGCGAAAGCAUUUGCCAAGGAUGUUUUCAUUAAUCAAGAACGAAAGUUAGGGGAUCGAAGACGAUCAGAUACCGUCGUAGUCUUAACCAUAAACUAUGCCGACUAGGGAUCGGAUGAUGUUAAUUUUUUAAUGACUCAUUCGGCGCCUUACG